AUUGAACGCUGGCGGCAUGCUUUACACAUGCAAGUCGAACGGUAGAGGGGGCAACCCCUUGAGAGUGGCGAACGGGUGAGUAAUGCAUCGGAACGUGCCCAGUCGUGGGGGAUAACUACUCGAAAGAGUGGCUAAUACCGCAUACGACCUGAGGGUGAAAGCGGGGGACCGAAAGGCCUCGCGCGAUUGGAGCGGCCGAUGUCAGAUUAGGUAGUUGGUGGGGUAAAGGCCUACCAAGCCUGCGAUCUGUAGCUGGUCUGAGAGGACGACCAGCCACACUGGGACUGAGACACGGCCCAGACUCCUACGGGAGGCAGCAGUGGGGAAUUUUGGACAAUGGGCGCAAGCCUGAUCCAGCCAUGCCGCGUGCGGGAAGAAGGCCU
rnacentral:rRNA from 1 species